rnacentral:rRNA from 1 species
GACGAACGCUGGCGGCGUGCUUAACACAUGCAAGUCGAACGGAAAGGCCCUGCUUUUGUGGGGUGCUCGAGUGGCGAACGGGUGAGUAACACGUGAGUAACCUGCCCUUGACUUUGGGAUAACUUCAGGAAACUGGGGCUAAUAUCGGAUAGGAGCUCCUGCUGCAUGGUGGGGGUUGGAAAGUUUCGGCGGUUGGGGAUGGACUCGCGGCUUAGCAGCUUGUUGGUGGGGUAGUGGCUUACCAAGGCUUUGACGGGUAGCCGGCCUGAGAGGGUGGCCGGCCACAUUGGGCCUACGAUACGGACCAGACUGCUACGGGCGGCAGCGGUGGGGAGUAUUGCACAGUGGGCGGGAGCCUGAUGCGGCAGCGCCCCGUGCGGGAUGACGGCCUUCGGGUUAUGAACCGCUUUCGCCUGUGACGAAGCGUGAGUGACGGUAAUGGGUAAAGAAGCACCGGCUAACUACGUG